GCCCCGAUGACGGAAUGGUAGACGUAACCGACUUAGGAUCGGUGUUUUGGCAGUUCAAGUCUGCCUCGGGGCA
rnacentral:tRNA from 1 species